AAAACUAAGAUAAAAAAAAGUCUGUUGGACUACCAAGAAAAAAACAAGAAAUUAAACCCAGCCGCUUGGCUGUUGGGUUCUAGAGGCUAAUGGAUUGGGAAUCAAAAAGCAAUUAAAUACUAUACACCCUUUAAUAAUAAAAAAAAAAUCAGAAGAAUACUAAACGUAUUAGAUUCUUAAAUGGUUUUCUAAUAUCUUAAAGGUUUGUUUUGCUUAAAAUAAAUAAAAGAAAAACAAAAACAGGAGCAACAGUAA
rnacentral:lncRNA from 1 species